rnacentral:rRNA from 1 species
UCGUCACACUAUCAUUAACUGAAUCCAUAGGUUAAUGAGGCGAACCGGGGGAACUGAAACAUCUAAGUACCCCGAGGAAAAGAAAUCAACCGAGAUUCCCCCAGUAGCGGCGAGCGAACGGGGAGGAGCCCAGAGCCUGAAUCAGCAUGUGUGUUAGUGGAAGCGUCUGGAAAGGCGCGCGAUACAGGGUGACAGCCCCGUACACAAAAGCGCAUGUGCUGUGAGCUCGAUGAGUAGGGCGGGACACGUGGUAUCCUGUCUGAAUAUGGGGGGACCAUCCUCCAAGGCUAAAUACUCCUGACUGACCGAUAGUGAACCAGUACCGUGAGGGAAAGGCGAAAAGAAC